AUGGGAUCUCAGCACCUUCUGCUGCUCUGAGAGAACACCGGCUGCCAACUGAGGCCUCGUUGGAGUUUGAGUGACCCAAAUGCAGACUGCUACGCGUUGACCAAGGGUGAUGCCAAAAGAAGAGGAUUGGGGACGUCAGCACCAGAUGCCGUUGCACUUCCUGACCUCCCCGGGUUGCAGUGUUGGAUGUGCUCUGGUCCUUGGAAAAGUGUAAGUGGAUCCCUCUUUCAGUAUUUUAAAAAGAACUGAUGUGAGGACCGGUGUAAGGACAAGGAGAAAAAGUAUUAGAAAAAGAUUUUAUAUAAAAAAAAGAAGUAAGAAACUAUGGAGGAAAGAAGUGAAAAAAAGAAUUAAAAAAAAAGUAGAAUAUGAGAAAUGAGAAUGUAAAAUCUUGGUAUGAGAAAUAGGCUUGGUAGAAGACAAAGAAUGAUGAAAAAAUAAGCAAGAGAAGUACAAAAUGGAAAGGAUUAAGUAUUUAAAAAGAAAACUAAAAGGGAAAAGAAUUGGAAUUUCAAGAAGAAAAAAU
ensembl:lncRNA